GCCAGGCAUGGUGAUGUGUGCCUGUAGUCCCAGCUACUCGGGAGGCUGAGGCUGGAGGAUCGCUUGAGUCCAAAAGUUCUGGGCUGUAGUGUGCUAUGCCAAUUGGGUGUCCACACUAAGUUUGGCAUCAAUAUGGUGACCUCCCGGGAGCGGGGGACCACCAGGUUGCCUAAGGAGGGGUGAACCAGCCCAGGUCAGAAACAGAGUAGGUCAAAACUCCCAUGCUGAUCAGUAGUGGGAUCGUGCCUGUGAAUAGCCACUGCACUCCAGCCUGGGCAAUACAGCAAGACCCAGUCUCAA
ensembl:misc_RNA Metazoa_SRP Metazoan signal recognition particle RNA